rnacentral:rRNA from 1 species
CAGUCGCCACGGGAAUACGUAGGUGGCAAGCGUUGUCCGGAAUUAUUGGGCGUAAAGGGCUCGCAGGCGGUUUCUUAAGUCUGAUGUGAAAGCCCCCGGCUCAACCGGGGAGGGUCAUUGGAAACUGGGAAACUUGAGUGCAGAAGAGGAGAGUGGAAUUCCACGUGUAGCGGUGAAAUGCGUAGAGAUGUGGAGGAACACCAGUGGCGAAGGCGACUCUCUGGUCUGUAACUGACGCUGAGGAGCGAAAGCGUGGGGAGCGAACAGGAUUAGAUACCCCUGUAGUCCCUGUCUCUUAUAU